rnacentral:lncRNA from 1 species
CCUUCCACCAUGUGAGUAUACAGAGAGAAGGUAUGAUCCAUGGAUCAGGAAACCAGCCUUCCCUAGACAUGGAAUCUGCUGGCACCUUGAUUUUGAACUUCCCAGACUCCAGAACUACUCCUGCCCCUGCCACGAGAACACACCCUUUCCAGUUUGCUGGAGAAAUAUAAGAGAAGUCCAGUGAAAGAGAGCUGAGUUUCCCCAAUGAUGCCAUCAAGAUGAACUAACUACAGUUAACCAGCCAGCUGAUAGCAGAUGCAUGAGUGAGCCCAGCUGAGAGCAGGUUGUGCAAGCAUGGCACGUGCAUCUGUUUGGCUUGUGGUGAGGCCUCAGGAAGCUUACAGUCAUGGUGGAAGGCAAAGAGGGAGCCAGUACAUCACGUGAACUCGUAGAGUGAGAACUCAUUCACUACCAUGAAGACAACACCAAGCCAUUCCUGAGUGCCUACAAUAGUUCCUGGUAUGUAGAAGGUAUACAAUAAAUAUUGGCGGAGUGAAGGAACAAAUGGGAUUUGCUUGAUUCUGCUGCAGAAGACUAAGAAAAAGACAUAAAUGAAUAAAUAACUAGUAGAAUGUUAACACAAUCAGAAAAAGGACCAUUUCUUUUCAUUUGGAUGUCUCAAAUCUAUUUGUUGUUUUUGUUGUUGUUGUUUUUCUGGCUGGGCUUGAAAUGUAGGCAUGCAGCCAGGAGGCUCCAUGCUGACUAAUGAGAUAGAGGUACCCAUUUAGCCCAGCAAUAUUCAUACAUUGUAUAUGCAUUCAUUUUUCUCUAGUGACUUUUUAAUAUAUUUUGGUGAAGAUAUUCCCAAGAUAAUGAAGAUAUGUUGAGUGGGCAUUAAAAGUGAUGAGUCUUUUUUUCCAUUAUCAAAGACAAAUACAGGUGUGUGAUGUAUGCAGAGAAUUAGAAGUAGGGAAAAAAAUGAGGGAAUCCAAAAUAAUGAAAAGAAAUUAAAGCUCUCCAAUAAUCGAAAGAAAGGCCAAACUGAAAACAUAAAUCUCCAGACUCUGCAAGGAUUUAUACUGAUGUGGGGCAUGUGGACCAAUGGCUUUCAGGAUGUGAUUCAUUUUGAAAAAAGUGUCAUUUCCAUUGCCAAGUAGAGUUCAUGGUUUAGUGAAAAUUUCAUCUUCAGUCUGAUCACAUGAGCCAAAUUCUGGCCCUAUAUAUUCUGAUGUGAGGAAUGAAGUAUUUCUAGUUUAUUUGUGAGAUUCCAAGCAUAAUAUCCAGGAGGGUUAGUCACAUUACAGCUAAGGUAAGAUUUUGUUAUAUUUGUGUUAGUCCUUAUUCUAGGCACUGAAAUUUCCUUGUAACAUUACUUGAAAAAGCAUAAGAACUAUUUAAUGAAAGAAUGCUUUGGCUCUGCCCAAAUGACCAAGAAAGACAUCAACUCACUUAUAACACAGUCUUGAUGGUCAGACCAAAAGGUACGUGAUUGUCAAUUAUUUUCAGCAGAGACUCAUAGAACAACAAAGCAGGGAAGAAUCUGAACAGGGAUUGGACUUUAAAGAACAAGUAUCAUUGAUCAAUUAAAAAAAAUGGUCAUGGGCUGGGCACAGUGGCUCACACCUAUAAUCCCAGCACUUUGGGAGGCCGAGGUGAGAGGAUUGCUUGAGUCCAGGAGAGACCAGCCUGGGCAAUAUAGUGAGACCCCAUCUCUACAAAAUUUUUUAAAAUUAGCUGAGCAUGGUGGCAGAUGCUUAUAGUUCCAGCUAAUUGGGAGAAUGAGGUAGGAGAAUCACUUGAGGUUGGGUGGUGGAGGUUGCACUGAGCUGAGAUCACUCCACUGCAUGCCAGCCUGGGAGAUAGAGCAAGACCUUGUCUCAAAAAAAAAAAAAAAUCAUGAUUCAGUAAAUUGAAAUAGAACAUGUCUUCUAAUGCUAGCUAUAUAGUAACAAUCAGAGCAAGUAGUUUACAGUUUCUACUCAAGGGUAUUGAUGAUUAAAAUGAGUCCAGCUAUUUUAUUGGAGGACGGGGAAUCUAGAUAGUAAGUUAAGCAGUAGUAGCUAAUGCAACAAAUACGCAGUGUAGGUCAUUCUACAUUUGUUGUCUGCCAUAUGUUGGGUUCUAUGUAUUAUACAGUAAAAUUUUACUUCAGUCUUUUUCCAAAAUUCAGGGAUUGGUCUGUUUAAUUCAGUAACUAAUGAGUUGAUGUCCAAUUCUUCUGGGUAAGUGAAUAUUCAUAGAAGUAGAGGUGAAAAAAUGGAGGCCACGGAAUAGGUGUAAAGUAGAUACACAGAUCUGCAUUGUGGCGGUUCUCGUUGAGCUGAUAUUUAGAUCAGCAGUGAGACUGCUUGGUACCAUUCCAGAAGACAACAGCCCUUUAGCUGGUCUUCUGUUGAAAAACUAUCUAAUUGAUCAUCUGGAGGAAGAGACUAAAAGCUGUGAAGUUGAGUCAGCACGCCUUUCAAAACUCAGCAGGUGAAGUUGUCAUACUCAAGAGGAAUGUAUUUUUUAAGUUUAACAAGAUGGAUAUAAAUCAUACUAUCACUCUCUUGAGAGAUCAUCUACAUGUGUGUCUGCCUACAAGUGUCUCAAUUAUUGUUUUAGAUUUAACCAGGCUUUGUUUGUUUGUUUAUUUACAGGAAGUGAUACAUAUACAAAUUGACACAGGAAAAUGCCACUUGUAUAAUAUUCUAGCUAGUAUUUUCAUCUGCUGUUGUCUGAAUUCCCCCAUAGUGGUUAACUUCAAAAUGCAAACUUAAAGCAUGAAAAAAAUAAAUGGUAAUCUGAAAUAAAAUACACAUUUGAAGAGCUUAUUCUUUUACCCUAUCAGAUGGUAAAAUGUUUGGCCAGAUAUGUAGAAUAAGUUUUCUAAUAUGAUAUUUAAUCAGUGUACUAUCUUAUUUUGGGUUAAAUUAAUAUAAUUAUACUAUUUAUUUGGAAUGAGAUAGACGGAAUUCAGAAUUCAGAAUAGAAGACCAAAUAUAAUUAGGUCCCAGUGAACUCCCAACAUAAUUUUCUCUAACAGUCGCACAUGAAAAGAAAAACCAAGGCAAUAUAAUGCUUGUUUUCCUGAAACACCAUCUGUUAUUUUGUUUGAGUUAAGCUCAGUGCUCUAAAGGUUAUGGAUACUGUGCAGUAAUUAGUACCAUUAUGGGGAAUGUUCUUACUUCUAUGUAUUGGAUUUCCCCAGUUUUACAAUGAUAUAAUUCCAAAUUGUUCCUUCAUCAGAGGUGUAACUAAAUUUCUUUCUUGUUCUAAAAUAUAGGCAACACAUAUUGUGGUAUCAAUUUGCUUGUUCUGGAAUGCAAAUAAAAUAGAAGCUUGUUUUGUAUAUUUUCUAGAUAAUUGUUGUUUUCUAUAUACCACAUAUAUAGAGACUUUGAAGAAAGUGGUUAUCAAAUUAUUAAAUAUCUAUAAAUUCUAUUAAUUUCUCUAGCUGAGAGAAAUGUUUUCUUUUUAAUUAUAAGAGAAUUAGAUUCCCUUCCUCAAAGAGAGGCCAACAAAUUUCAAGUAUUUUUAUAUACUGUAUAAAUAUAAAUGAAUCUUUGUACAUCAUUUCCCUCCCUGUAGAGCAAGGCUAAAAUACUCUUUUGGAACAGUUGUGCAGAAAUAUUUAAUUGCAUGGCAUGUGGUUAUGGAUAUUUUAUAUACAGGCUAUCUCUGUCUCUUAACUUACAAUUAAAAUGACAAAUUUAAGAUUCA